rnacentral:rRNA from 1 species
GCUCAGGACGAACGCUGGCGGCGUGCCUAAUACAUGCAAGUCGAGCGGACAGAUGGGAGCUUGCUCCCUGAUGUUAGCGGCGGACGGGUGAGUAACACGUGGGUAACCUGCCUGUAAGACUGGGAUAACUCCGGGAAACCGGGGCUAAUACCGGAUGCUUGUUUGAACCGCAUGGUUCAAACAUAAAAGGUGGCUUCGGCUACCACUUACAGAUGGACCCGCGGCGCAUUAGCUAGUUGGUGAGGUAAUGGCUCACCAAGGCGACGAUGCGUAGCCGACCUGAGAGGGUGAUCGGCCACACUGGGACUGAGACACGGCCCAGACUCCUACGGGAGGCAGCAGUAGGGAAUCUUCCGCAAUGGACGAAAGUCUGACGGAGCAACGCCGCGUGAGUGAUGAAGGUUUUCGGAUCGUAAAGCUCUGUUGUUAGGGAAGAACAAGUACCGUUCGAAUAGGGCGGUACCUUGACGGUACCUAACCAGAAAGCCACGGCUAACUACGUGCCAGCAGCCGCGGUAAUACGUAGGUGGCAAGCGUUGUCCGGAAUUAUUGGGCGUAAAGGGCUCGCAGGCGGUUUCUUAAGUCUGAUGUGAAAGCCCCCGGCUCAACCGGGGAGGGUCAUUGGAAACUGGGGAACUUGAGUGCAGAAGAGGAGAGUGGAAUUCCACGUGUAGCGGUGAAAUGCGUAGAGAUGUGGAGGAACACCAGUGGCGAAGGCGACUCUCUGGUCUGUAACUGACGCUGAGGAGCGAAAGCGUGGGGAGCGAACAGGAUUAGAUACCCUGGUAGUCCACGCCGUAAACGAUGAGUGCUAAGUGUUAGGGGGUUUCCGCCCCUUAGUGCUGCAGCUAACGCAUUAAGCACUCCGCCUGGAGACGCCAGC